GUCUUUUAGUUAAUAAUUUAAAGUCUAAUCUGCCCACUGAUAUAAAUAUUGAAGGGCUGCAGUAUAUUGACUGUACAAAGGUAGCAUAAUCAUUAGUUUUUUAAUUGGAAACUUGAAUGAAGGAUUGGAUGAAAUAUAAACUGUCUCUAAUUUAUUAAUAGAAAUUUAUUUUUUAGUUAAAAAGCUAAAAUAAAUUUAAAAGACGAGAAGACCCUAUAGAGUUUUAUAUUAAAAUUUAUUUAUAAAUUAUGUAAAAUUUUUAUUAUUAAAUAGGUUUAUAAUAUUGUGUUGGGGUGACAGAAAAAUUAAAUAAACUUUUUUUAAAAAUUUAACAUAAAUAAAUGAAUGAAUGAUCCAUUAAUAAUGAUUAUAAGAAAAAAUUACCUUAGGGAUAACAGCGUAAUAUUUUUUUUUAGUACGAAUAAAAAAAAAAGUUUGCGACCUCGAUGUUGGAUUAAGAUAAAAUUUAAAUGCAAAAGUUUAAAAUUUUGAUCUGUUCGAUCAUUAAAAUCUU
rnacentral:rRNA from 1 species